rfam:Felis catus isolate Cinnamon breed Abyssinian chromosome A2, whole genome shotgun sequence.
GCCUGGGUGACUCAGUCGGUUAAGAGUCCGACUUCAGCUCAGGUCAUGAUCUCACAAUUCGUGGGUUCGAGCCCCACAUCAGGCU